GGUCAAGCGAAUAAGCGCACACGGUGGAUGCCUUGGCGGUCAGAGGCGAUGAAGGACGUGGCAGCCUGCGAAAAGCGCGGGGGAGUUGGCAACA
rnacentral:rRNA from 1 species